AUGGUACUCUUCAGACUAGAAGGAGCUUCCAGUUGAAUUCACCAGGGGACAAAAUGAGGACAACAGGUGAACAAGCUUUUUCUACGUUUACAUACCAAGUCAGAUCUGUUCCGGGUAAAUUAGUGUCAAAUGGCCUUUCAUUUCAGCUUUAUGCUGGAAUAAACAGCAUGAGCAAGUUUGUUGGCCUGGGGGUGGAGGGGUGAGGUGGGCGCUAAGCCUUUUUUUAAGAUUUUUCAGGUACCCCUCAAUAAAGGCACCCGAAGGCUUAAAGUAGGACAACCCUGGCGCCUUCCUGUGGCAAGAGAGACAACAAAGCGCUAUUAAACUAAGGUCAAUCUAAGUGGUGUCAGCCUCACAACCCCACCUUCGGUUAGACAUGAGGACUUGCCUCAACUGCCUCUGGGGAGUGAAGCAUCCAAAGGAAUGCCUGCGUACCUUGCGUACCCCCGGCCUGUGUAACGCCUCCCUGGGCUGUUUUUAGAGCAGCCCUUGAUGAAGCCCAGACCUGAGUGGUGCUUGAAGGGGAGGGAAAGGGGGAAAGCGGGCAACCACUUCUCCCUAGCUUUUCCAGAAACCUGUUAAAAAGCAAGGUCUCCCCACAAGUGACUUCUCUGCCACAUCGCCACCCCCUGCCUUUGGCCUAGCGCAGACCCUUCACCCCUCACCUCGAUGCUGUCGGUAGCUUGGAUCCUUGUGGGCAUGAUCCAUAAGCAGUUUAAGACUUUUUCAGGUGAACAUAACAGACUUGGCCAAGCUAGCAUCUUAGCUGAAGCAGAUUCUCCAGUGCUCUUCAGUAGGGUCUUAAAAUUUAAAGGUUUUUCUUUUCCUGAGAAAACAAAAUACUUUGUUUUCUCAGGUUUUGCUUUUUGGCCUUUACCUAGCUUUAAAAAAAAAAGCAAAAGAUGCUGGUGGUUGGCACUCCUGGCUUCCAGGACAGGGUUCAAAUCCCUGCGGCGUCUUUGCUUGACUUUUACUUCUGCCUUUCCGUUUUCCUCCUUUUUCUUCAGAUGAAGUUAGGGGAAGUGGAAGUAGCUUCAAACUAUACUAUACCUCUUGAUUGAAUUUGUCCUAAACUGGUUUGUGUUUGUAUUUUCACAGGAAUCUAGUGUAAUUACUUUGCCCUUUUAAUUUUCAGGUAUCUCUCAUGCAUCUGUUGUUUGGAGCAGUCUCACUAUUUUUAAAAAUAGAUGACAUAUUAAUAAAGGUUGAAAAACUUCAUUGGUGUGAUUCUUUUGUGCAUAAGCUGAACUUCUCUAUCCAUGAGUAGUCAGAAGAUGGGUGUCUUGUGGGGGUUCUUGUUCCUGUUUUAACUAGUUGUCUAAAAAGCACACUGCACUGUCAAGCCACCAAAUUUCUAGGGGGGCAGGGGACCCCUCUGGAGGGGGAGGUGGUCUAGUGGGUGAGUGACCCGAAAGACCCAGUAACAUACCCACAGAAAUAAGAAGGGACACUUUAAAGCAGCAGUUGGCCGUGAGUGUGGCUGGAUCUGGAGAGCUGGAGACCACGUGGUCUGGUAGGUUGUCGAUUCCCAAGCUGUAAAGUGAUCUUGUGGUCACCUGUCCUGUGGAAUGGCCAGUGUUCCGGCAGAUAGACCUUCAAUUGCAACUGAAGUGCCCUUUUUAAGUCCUACCCAUCUUUUAAGUCCUUGCUUCUCAAGCCCUGUUCCCUGAAAAGGAGAGC
rnacentral:lncRNA from 1 species